rnacentral:rRNA from 1 species
AGUACGAGAGGACCGGGAUGGACAGACCUCUGGUGUACCAGUUGUGCCGCCAGGCGCAUCGCUGGGUAGCUAAGUGCGGACGGGAUAACUGCUGAAGGCAUCUAAGUAGGAAGCCCACCUCAAGAUGAGUGCUCUUUGAGGCCACGGCAAGACUAGCCGGUAAUAAGGAUUUUCAGUUAUGAAAUCUUUCCAGGCUCUAAGUGGAAGCUUUGUAAAAAGUGCAGCUGAGGAGUUCUGAUAGGCCAAAAG